UCUCCGUAGGUGAACCUGCGGAAGGAUCAUUCAUAAUAAGUGUUUUAUGGAACUUUUUUAAAUCCAUAUCCACCUUGUGUGCAAUGUCAGGGUUGGUCUCUUUUGAUCAGCCCCAAACAGCAACUAUUAUCUCAACUCUUUGUCUGAAAAAUAUUAUGAAUAAAACAAUUCAAAAUACAACUUUCAACAACGGAUCUCUUGGCUCUC
rnacentral:misc_RNA from 1 species